rnacentral:rRNA from 2 species
UGCAAGUCGAGCGGACAGAUGGGAGCUUGCUCCCUGAUGUUAGCGGCGGACGGGUGAGUAACACGUGGGUAACCUGCCUGUAAGACUGGGAUAACUCCGGGAAACCGGGGCUAAUACCGGAUGGUUGUUUGAACCGCAUGGUUCAAACAUAAAAGGUGGCUUCGGCUACCACUUGCAGAUGGACCCGCGGCGCAUUAGCUAGUUGGUGAGGUAAUGGCUCACCAAGGCAACGAUGCGUAGCCGACCUGAGAGGGUGAUCGGCCACACUGGGACUGAGACACGGCCCAGACUCCUACGGGAGGCAGCAGUAGGGAAUCUUCCGCAAUGGACGAAAGUCUGACGGAGCAACGCCGCGUGAGUGAUGAAGGUUUUCGGAUCGUAAAGCUCUGUUGUUAGGGAAGAACAAGUGCCGUUCGAAUAGGGCGGUACCUUGACGGUACCUAACCAGAAAGCCACGGCUAACUACGUGCCAGCAGCCGCGGUAAUACGUAGGUGGCAAGCGUUGUCCGGAAUUAUUGGGCGUAAAGGGCUCGCAGGCGGUUUCUUAAGUCUGAUGUGAAAGCCCCCGGCUCAACCGGGGAGGGUCAUUGGAAACUGGGGAACUUGAGUGCAGAAGAGGAGAGUGGAAUUCCACGUGUAGCGGUGAAAUGCGUAGAGAUGUGGAGGAACACCAGUGGCGAAGGCGACUCUCUGGUCUGUAACUGACGCUGAGGAGCGAAAGCGUGGGGAGCGAACAGGAUUAGA